GAAGACCUCCAGGACGCCUUUGGUCAGACUGGGCUCGAACAUCAUGCUGCGACUGCGGACGCUCACGUUCUCACAGCCAGGAUACAAGUUGGAGAUGCUCACAGAGACUGCGGAAGCAUAUAUUUCAUUUGGCAGCCAUGUUGUUGGGGUCAUGUUUCUUCUCAACUAUCCAGCUGCAGAAGCUCGCCAACUCUUAACUGCGGACGUAUUUGCAGAAUUGUGGUUGUGCAGCGGCUAACCCGGCUAGCAGAGAGGAUGGGAUCAGUAACCUGAUACGAAACUGAUGGAUAUCAGAGCAAGGAGCACGUCUGUCUGGGAGAAGCUACACCUGGCCUGGCUCUGUGUCUGCCUGUGACACCUUUCUGGAGAGGGGCAUCG